rnacentral:lncRNA from 1 species
UAGAACAGUCAUGACGCAGCUAGCCAUAACUAGCUACGUUAACUAAAAGUAGAGAUAUAAUCUGAAAAUAUAAAUUAGCUAGCUAGCUAGUGGGGAUUUCAAAAAAUAAAGUUAUACUCAACCAUUUUAUUCUAAAAACAACAUUACUCUUCUUCCCUUUAGACUAAAGAGGGAACAUCUCAGAGCCUAAAUGUUUAGGUGAUGUUGUCGUGUUUUUUGUUCUGUCUGUCUAAACCCAGAGCCUGAAUGGGCAGUAAUCUGUCUCAACCCAGAGCCUGAAUGGGCAGUAAUCUGUCUCAACCCAGAGCCUGAAUGGGCAGUAAUCUGUCUCAACCCAGAACCUGAAUGGGCAGUAAUCUGUCUCAACCCAGAGCCCGAAUGGGCAGUUAUCUGUCUCAACCCAGAACCUGAAUGUGUAGGUGAUGUUGGGGUGUUUUUUGUUCUGUCUGUCUCAACCCAGAGCCUGAAUGGGCAGUAAUCUGUCUCAACCCAGAGCCUGAAUGGGCAGUAAUCUGUCUCAACCCAGAACCUGAAUGUGUAGGUGAUGUUGGGGUGUUUUUUGUUCUGUCUGUCUCAACCCAGAGCCUGAAUGGGCAGUAAUCUGUCUCAACCCAGAGCCUGAAUGGGAAGUUAUUUUGGCAGUGUUUCCCCUAUAUGCAUUAGCAGUGACCACUGUUUUUUUAUUUAUAUACGGAUGUGUAUGUAUGAUUUAAAAAUAAAUAAAUAAAAAAGCGGGCACGGUAAAACAUUUUUCAGUGUAAACUUAAGCGUAAUGAUUAUGGCUCUAGAUUGCAGAAAAGGCUGUUUCAGGUGUUUGAAAAAUGUAAAAUUCACUAAUUUAAGGAUGGGGGCUGGGGCCCCCUCUGCACCUCUCCUCAGCCAUUCUCACAUACUUUGUGCCCCCUCAGAUUUGUGGGGUGCAUGACAGCCUGCAGCUUGUCACUGGUCAUUUCGCCUUUCUUGCAUGUUUUUAAUUUGCUUUCGUUCAGACUCUUAGUGUAUUAGGCUGUAGGCCUAGUGGAAUGUAUUAGACUAUAGGUAGUGGAAUGUAUUAGACUGUAGGUAGUGUAGGUAGUGGAAUGUAUUAGACUGUAGGCAGUGUAGGUAGUGGAAUGUAUUAGACUGUAGGUAGUGUAGGUAGUGGAAUGUAUUAGACUGUAGGUAGUGGAAUGUAUUAGACUGUAGGUAGUGUAGGUAGGGGAAUGUAUUAGACUGUAGGUAGUGUAGGUAGGGGAAUGUAUUAGACUGUAGGUAGUGGAAUGGAUUAGACUGUAGGUAGUGUAGGUAGUGGAAUGUAUUAGACUGUAGGUAGUGUAGGUAGUGGAAUGUAUUAGACUGUAGGUAGUGGAAUGUAUUAGACUGUAGGUAGUGGAAUGUAUUAGACUGUGUAGGUAGUGUAGGUAGUGGAAUGUAUUAGACUGUAGGUAGUGUAGGUAGUGGAAUGUAUUAGACUGUAGGUAGUGGAAUGUAUUAGACUGUAGGUAGUGGAAUGUAUUGUAGGUAGUGGAAUGUAUUAGACUAUAGGUAGUGGAAUGUAUUAGACUGUAGGUAGUGGAAUGUAUUAGACUGUAGGUAGUGGAAUGUAUUAGACUGUAGGUAGUGGAAUGUAUUAGACUGUAGGUAGUGGAAUGUAUUAGACUAUAGGUAGUGGAAUGUAUUAGACUAUAGACCCUUUCUAAGCCAUAAAUGGAGAUGGGGAUUUGGAUUUGUGGCUUUGACUUAAUUCUCUGUCCAGGCCAAUGACUAUGACGGCAAUUCUGAUCUAACUGGUCACUUUAAUAAUGUUUACAUACUGUUUUACUCAUUUAAUAUGUAUAUACUGUAUUCUACUGUAUUUUAGUUAAUGCCACUUCGACAUUGCUCAUCCUAAUAUUUAUAUAUUUCUUAAUUCCAUACUUUUACUUUUAGAUUUGUGUGUAUUGUUGUGAAUUGUUAGAUACUACAGCACUGUUGGAGCUAAUUCUACGUUCUACCCAUAUUCAGUCCAAUUUUAACAAAUAAUAUUGUAUUGUAACCUAUUGAGUUCAUGAUUUGCACAGCAUAGCAUACCUUCCUAGGUCAGGCCGUCAAAGAUUUCUGGUCACGCUCCUACCCGGAACUUAAACCUCCAGUCUGGCGAUCCUAUCGGACAUAUUUCAUGAAACACAGGAACGAUUAAAGGAGAACAUAUUUGUUUACAUAGAUCCGAAGUUUAAAUGUUUUCAGUUUCUCAGACAUCUUCUGGUUUCGAAAUUAGCCAGGGCCAUUUUACUAUUUAAUAACUUAGAAACAGUGAAAACCCAUUAAAUUGUCUUGUUUAGUUAGCUCUCUGGAGCAGGUUUUCCGCUUGUUACGAGGGUAGCUAGCUAGCUAGCAGCAAUCAAUCGCUUGCUAUACAUUUCACGAUGGACGACAGACUAUGAAAUUUGACCUCCGAUGUUAUAAACAAAUUGAAAGGUAGUUAUUGCAGUUUUACAAAAAUGGAUAUCAGUCUAACAAUUUCCCUAAUGCGGGGCCAGAUGGGUACCGUGAUAGAGAGAGCGGUUAGUGCCGCUGUUGAGACUGUGUUGGGGGAGAUGCUUAGAGUCGUCGGCAUUAAAUUUGACGAGCUGAAGAGGGAGGUAGUUGCUAAAGAGAAAGAGGCGGAGAACAUAAGACAGAUGUUGGAGAUAUCCCGAUCUCAGAUGAAGACUAUGCGGAAACACAUGAAUGCUCUGGGUGAGAACGCCCACGCUGCCACUUAUCAGACCUACCGGACAGCAUUCGGCCAUUCUGAUCCCCGCAGAAUUCACGGUUCCUCCGAGGCCGCACUAUCCUCGGGUUUACCACAGCCACCGAGAAGGAUGGUUACUAACAACAACCAAAUUCCCACUACAAAUGGAAACUUACAGCCAAGGAAUCGAGUCACCAUCACCCUACCCUCUGAGAAUAUGGUCAGGGCCACCCAGCCGUCUGAUAACUUGGUCAGGGUCACCCAACCCUCUGAUAACUUCGUCAGGGCCACCCAGCCGUCUGAUAACUUGGUCAGGGUCACCCAACCCUCUGAUAACUUGGUCAGGGUCACCCAACCCUCUGAUAACUUCGUCAGGGCCACCCAGCCGUCUGAUAACUUGGUCAGGGCCACCCAACCCUCUGAUAACUUGGUCAGGGCCACCCAACCCUCUGAUAACUUGGUCAGGGUCACCCAACCCUCUGAUAACUUGGUCAGGGCCACCCAACCCUCUGACAAUAUGGUAACCGUUAGGCCCACGUCAACAUCCUUUGACAGUCACGAUGAUCUGACAACUGUGAUCUCCCAGACUCUGGAGGAUCGGACAUUGACACCCACUAGUUCAUCAGAGCAUCUGGAACCUUUGAAAGAGGAGCACCCAGCCCCUCUAGACCCCGAGGUGUCUGAUGAGAGCCAGAGGAGGGAGGAGGAAGAAGAGUGGACCACCGUUACACAGCCACCAUCAGAGACCAGCACAGACCCUGGAGACCAGCUGGUCCUCUCCCCACCCAGGACUGACGGAGCAGACUGCUCUGCCAGGAGUGUACUGCCACUCUCCCAGCCACUUUCCCAGUUCCAAGUGAAAGAGGAGGAAGCUGAGGUGGAGAUCAUCUGUAUCAAACAGGAACCAGAGGAGGUGGAGACCCUGCUGAUAAACCUGGCUGCCGAAGGCUUCGACUCUCAGGGCAACCUUUUAGACAGGCAGACUCAGGGAAACCACCUCCUGGACAGUCACAGGACAAUCCCAGGCUCUCAGAGCCAGAGGGAUCGGAGAGCAUCCCGUCCACCACAGAACCAGAGGACCUUAGCAGAGAAUACACCCUUCACCUCAGCCGACUCUUGUUCAUAUGGGCUGUCCCAGGCAGUGAUGUCCACGUCAGGAGGAGUUGCUCCCAGGCCGAUGGUUCGUCCGUGGCCCAAGGACCUGAGUCUGUACGAGGAGUUUAAAAUGAGACGAACUGAGUUGAGGAGGAGGAACCAGACCCGUCAGAGAGAGAUGGAGAAAAACCUUCCCCAGCCUCUAUUAGCUGACCUGGUGAAGGAGAGACGGGAGAAGACCCGGCUCAGAGUGGCCCGCUGGAGAGCCAAGAGGAAGCUUCAGGCCUGCCUACUGACUCAGAUGAACCAGCAGACACAACACCAACAGACUGGACCGGGUCUGGGCCAAGGGAACAGUCUGAACAGUGGGCUGGGGAAUCAUAGCCAGAUUAGCCACCACACACAGCACAAAACCACAGGCCCGACUCAGACACAACAGAGGAACAGUGCUGCCGUCUCUCAAUCUCAGUACAAUAACAGUUUUCUGUACAACAGAAGUCACUGUGACUCUGGGGCUGGUAACAUUAACUACCCUUCUCUCCAGUUAAACUCCUCUUCUCUAAUGCUGGGGCAACACGGAGGACACAAUAUGGUGGAGCACAUUAUGCAGCCUGCGAUGACGUCAUCCUCACAGCAGGGCCUCUCCCUGACAGACUCUGAGCUCUACCAGUAACAAGGGAUCAUGGGUAUUCAAAUCUUACCCUACAAGUUCUGGAUUACUGCUGGUUUUCUGUUCUACCUGAUAAUGAAUUACACCCACCUGGUGUCCCAGGUCUAAAUCAGGCCCUGAUUAGAGUGGGAUCACCCACCUGGUGUCCCAGGUCUAAAUCAGGCCCUGAUUAGAGGGGGAUCACCCACCUGGUGUCCCAGGUCUAAAUCAGUCCCUGAUUAGAGGGGGAAUCAUCCACCUGGUGUCCCAGGUCUAAAUCAGUCCCUGAUUAGAGGGGGAUCACCCACCUGGUGUCCCAGGUCUAAAUCAGUCCUUGAUUAGAGGGGAAUCACCCACCUGGUGUCCCAGGUCUAAAUCAGUCCCUGAUUAGAGGGGGAUCACCCACCUGGUGUCCCAGGUCUAAAUCAGUCCCUGAUUAGAGGGGGAAUCAUCCACCUGGUGUCCCAGGUCUAAAUCAGUCCCUGAUUAGAGGAGAAGAGUGGAACUGGCUUUGUGGUCCACAUUUGAGUUAGAGGGCAGGAGACCAACAUUACAGUACCAGUUCUACUCUACCAGUACCAGUUCUACUCUACCAGUACCAGUUCUACUCUACCAGUACCAGUUCUACUCUUCCAGUUCUACUCUACCAGUACCAGUUCUACUCUACCAGUACCAGUUCUACUCUUCCAGUUCUACUCUACCAGUACCAGUUCUACUCUUCCAGUUCUACUCUACCAGUACCAGUUCUACUCUUCCAGUUCUACUCUACCAGUACCAGUUCUACUCUACCAGUACCAGUUCUACUCUACCAGUACCAGUUCUACUCUACCAGUACCAGUUCUACUCUACCAGUUCUACUCUACCAGUACCAGUUCUACUCUACCAGUACCAGUUCUACUCUUCCAGUUCUACUCUACCAGUACCAGUUCUACUCUUCCAGUUCUACUCUACCAGUACCAGUUCUACUCUACCAGUACCAGUUCUACUCUACCAGUACCAGUUCUACUCUACCAGUAACAAUAGAGCAGAGGAUGUGUUUUGUAGAGUCACUCCGUUGUAUGGCACCCUAUUCCCUAUGUAGUGCACUACAUUCGACAAAAGUUUUUUAUGGCUCUGGUCAAAAGUAGUGCACUAUAUAGGGAAUAUAGGGUGUCAUUUUCAGACACAACCUUUGCCUUCUGAUGCGGGGACAAUAACAUGAGAUAUUUCAAGGGGAAUUGUAUAAAUGCAAAAUUAUCCAAAUUGCCUGUGACAAAUUGAUAAAAAAAAAAAAGGCUUUUAUAAUUGAAUUGCUUAAAAAAAAAUAUAAAUACCUGAGAAUGUUUUGAUGUACAACAAAAGUCUUUAUUAAAAUACAUUAUUUAUGUUAACUUGAGUAAUGACUGUCCCUACAUGUCUACAAAUAUGGAGGAUAAAUCCUUGUACUCGAAUAACUGAUUGGAUCAUCAUGCGUAAUGCUUCUAGGUCAAACAAAUGUUCGUCAAUAUUAUUUAAUCAACUCUUAUUUAUACCUUGUAUUGCUCUGCAACUGGAUUUAAAUCACGAUAAUAUACUUAUUAUUCAGAUAUAGACCUAUUCAAUGAUAUACUAGGAAACUAUCCCAUAUACAUUAUGAAUCACUUUUUUGAGUUUAGGCCUAGUCUUUGAUCUCUUGCUUCAUUCCUCCUGUUCCGUACUUGAUAGUUACAUUAGCAGUGUUCAAGGCUGUUUACAUUAACCUGUCCAGUCAUUAUGUUUUUGGCAGCAUUUACAAAGUUUUGAUUAGAAAAUAGAUGGGACUGUUACUGUGCGUUUCCGUUGUUCAUAAAAAACAGCUGGAUGGAAUGACGUCAC